UAAAACUUUAUCGCAAAGUUAGGAACACCGGAGGAGUAUUAAUAAAGUAAUAACGUGAAGGUCAGAAUAUACCUAGUGAGGAGGAGGUUGCUGGCUGCUUUUAAUCUGACUCGUGAAUUUGGAGUUUAGAUUGUAGCUGAUGGUGUUACGUCCCAGGAGAGCACAUAACCUUUUUUCAGUAUUUCUCCCGACCGUGGCCUUUUCUGAGUUUUAUGUAUUUACCUCUUCUAUGUGUGUGGAAAAAUAUGUAAAAGGCUGUUGAAGAAUUCAAGUCUUUUCUUAAUGAGAGAAUAAAAUGGGGAAGUUGUAGAACA
rnacentral:lncRNA from 1 species